rnacentral:rRNA from 1 species
UACAGAGGGUGCGAGCGUUAAUCGGAAUUACUGGGCGUAAAGCGCACGUAGUCGGCUUUGCAAGUCGGGUGUGAAAUCCCCGGGCUCAACCUGGGAACUGCAUCCGAGACUGCAUUGCUAGAGUAUGGGAGAGGGAUGCGGAAUUCCAGGUGUAGCGGUGAAAUGCGUAGAUAUCUGGAGGAACACCGGUGGCGAAGGCGGCAUCCUGGACCAAUUCUGACGCUGAGGAGCGAAAGCCAGGGGAGCAAACGGG